rnacentral:rRNA from 1 species
CCUACGGGAGGCAGCAGUGAGGAAUAUUGGUCAAUGGCCGAGAGGCUGAACCAGCCAAGUCGCGUGAGGGAAGACGGCCCUACGGGUUGUAAACCUCUUUUGUCGGGGAGCAAAGAGAGUCACGUGUGAUUCAUUGAGAGUACCGGAAGAAAAAGCAUCGGCUAACUCCGUGCCAGCAGCCGCGGUAAUACGGAGGAUGCGAGCGUAAUCCGGAUUUAUUGGGUUAAAAGGGUGCGCAGGCGGAGGUGCAAGUCAGCGGUCAAAUUGCGGGGCUCAACCCCGUACUGCCGUCGAAACUGCAUCCCUUGAGUGCGCGAGAAGUAUGCGGAAUGCGUGGUGUAGCGGUGAAAUGCAUAGAUAUCACGCAGAACUCCGAUUGCGAAGGCAGCAUACCGGCGCGCAACUGACGCUCAUGCACGAAGGCGUGGGUAUCGAACAGGAUUAGAUACCCGAGUAGUC